rnacentral:rRNA from 1 species
UACGUAGGGGGCAAGCGUUGUCCGGAUUUAUUGGGCGUAAAGAGCGUGUAGGCGGCCAUGUAGGUCCGUUGUGAAAACUCGAGGCUCAACCUCGAGACGCCGAUGGAAACCAUGCGGCUAGAGUCCGGAAGAGGAGAGUGGAAUUCCUGGUGUAGCGGUGAAAUGCGCAGAUAUCAGGAAGAACACCCGUGGCUAAGGCGGCUCUCUAGUACGGUACUGACGCUGAGACGCGAAAGCGUGGGGAGCGAACAGG